AAGUCGUAACAAGGUAUCCGUAGGUGAACCUGCGGAUGGAUCAUUACCAAUCUUUAACUAUUUAAGUUUGCAUCCCGAGCACUACUCCUGUAGUGUAAAGGUGCACAACUUUAAUGUAAAUGUUGAACUAGAUCUUUCAGCGUGGAUUGCUUGGGUGAAGGGGGGGAAACGGAAAGGACCCCUGACCCUAGCCCUCUGUGACCCCGGGCAAACCCCACGCUGAUGUAUUAUAUAACAUACUACUACUACUACAAAACACACAACCAAACAAAAAAAACACUACAAUAGGACUUAUAUAACGGCUGGGUGGGUAAAAUCCUCAGUCUUUAAUUUAAUAACUAUUACAACUUUCAGCAAUGGAUCUCUAGGCUCUC
rnacentral:misc_RNA from 1 species